rnacentral:lncRNA from 1 species
CUAGCUAUGCCUAUCAACUAUGAGUUACUAGAUUCCUAUCUAAAUAUCUUGAGACUUGAUCUUGAGUCUUAGCUGAUUUUGCCGUGGACUCCGAUAUGAAUCUUGAUGCAUGCAAGUUGUAGGUGUUUGUUUCUUUCUACAGCAUUGAGUCAAAACAGGAUUGGCGGAGCUUUUGACUUUAAUCAGAUACUGAAUCUGUAACGGGCCCAGGUCUUCCCCCUUUCGUAAUGAUCUGAACCUGUAGACCGCUUUAAAUACUGAAUCUGUGCUUUCAAUCGUUUGUCUGCUUGAGUUUAAAUGCUCCAAGAUCUUUUAAACUUCUUUUCCCGCGUCUCCUUUUUACUCAAAUCAGUGCAACUAACUUAUAAGGCCUUUUCUAAACUUGUCAGCAACUUUAAAUCUUCUAAAUAGACCUUUGUAUGAAGCUUCAUUUUCUUUUAAAUCAAUUGAUUUUCUAAAUCCUGUCAACUCCUAAAACUGUCCUGGGAGCUCGAAACAAAUUUUCUAUCCAACUCUUAUGUGUUAAACUAAUCUGCCCGCUCUUUUAAACUUCUGUUAAGACUAAAUUAGUAUUUGAAGUCAUACUAAACUAGUUGCUGUAUGUUACGAGGUUACUUGAGCCCUUGACUGUUUAUUUGCAUACCCCUUAUGUGCUGUGUGUUUUGAUUGUCGCUCUAGCAUUUUUACCUUUGAAAACUCCAUAUAUAUCCUAUCUCUCUCUCCCCCUUCUUAGGAUUAGAAGUCCUAAUACCCAGGACUAACAGGUUGGGACGAGUAUUAGCAUGCAAUAGGUAGACGAUACUAACGCGUUUAAAUACCUUAACGGGGUGGGAAGGGUAGAAUAUGGAGAUGAUGAUGAUGUGAUAAUAUCAUAAAGUGACCCCUCUUUGGGAAUGUGUGCAGAAUAUUGCAUCGAAUGGAUCCAUAUUAUAGUUAAACCUAGGACCUUUCUCUCUUUUAUUUGCUUUUACUUAAGUUCUUUCCCAUUGUAAUGCUUUUACAAAAUCCGUCCCCUAUUUAAUUUCAAACUUAUGUCCUUCCUUCUCCUUUUAAAACUUCCAAGCUAUGUAAAUGUUGUAUGUGUGAACCUUAUUUGGCUAAUUGCUUCAUCUCUUUAUAGAGUCACGAUUAACACGGUCGGGAACCACACUAGUGGAUCUUGAGGGGUGCCUAACACCUUCCCCUCGAGACAAUCUCCAGCCCUUACCCAAACUCUGGUUUUCUUUCAAAAAAUGCUCUUUUCAUCUCAAAGUUUCCUAAUGCACUAUAAUCAUUAGGUGGUGACUCUUCAAAUUCCAUAACCCAAC